UUCUAGCAUGCAUGUCAAAAAUCUGCCAGCCUCUACCCAGUUCCCAGUUCCAAAGCCACUUCCACAUGUCUAGGUAUUUGUUACAGCAGCACCUCACUUCUUGGUACCAAAAUAUCUGUAUUAGAUUCCAGUGGCUGC